UUCUUACUCUAACGUACUGAUCCCAUCUUCCCGUGAAAUUGCCCCACCAGGAUGCUGGCAAUCAUAGACCCGGGCAGGCCAGAGGAGGUGAAGCAGGGCCCUUAGUUCUGGGCAGGCACCUGCUGAGGGCCAGGAAAGUCAGCUGAGGCUGAGAGGAUGGCCUGAGAGGCCAGGAUCCAGAGUCCAGGGGGUCAGCGAGAGGGCAAGCCCAAGCUGUUCCAGCCGCUGGGCAGGCGCCUCGGAGGCGGGUACAGGCCAUUUUCCCACCAGCCUGGUCCAGGUGGCCUGGAGGCUGCAGGGGUCGUCUGGGAACAGGUCCUGCCCCUGAUUGAGGCAUGAAAUCUGGGUCUCUCAGACCUGACGGACUUUCGGGAUCAUCUUCCUAGGUCCCCACAAAGUGCCUGAAGACAGGAAACAUUUGGUGUGCUUGACGGGGACUAUGAGAUCUUAUGGCAUCUCAAAGGGUAGAAGUCUGGACAGGAAGACCAGUUGCAUGGUAGAGGAUUCCCCAAGUAGACCACGUGUGUGCCAGCCCAGCAGGCAAACUGCCCCAUAUGUGUUUGUCCGUCAACUGUGCGUGCAGAGCUUUACUCGCGUGCAUGACACAGGAAGCCCACGGGACGCUCCCCCAGCACGCCCCGCUGCCUCGGCACUCCUGGAAGGAAGACCUGUUCUUGUUUCUUCCGUACUCUCAGGAUCUGGCACAGAACCCGACAAAGGAUAUGACUUGCAGAUGUCGAGAUGGAACCUCACCAGGGCUUCCUUCUGAAAGGAAACUUCCAGAAAGCAGCAGACAGACCACAGAACAUCCUUCCUAGAAAAAGAUAAGUCGUCUAUAGACCAGCAACAGCUCUGAUCACAUGACUGCAAGCAAGGUUUCCAAAGAAAUCAAAAUGAUAGCUUAAAGAAUGAGCAUGGAAAAUUUCUUUGUAGAAAGAUUCAAAUUCACAAUGUGACCAAUUAAAAGGAAUCCUAGCGUACAUUUUUUUUUUCUCAAAAUUUCACAAAUACUGUCUUAUUUGAUUCUCAUAUUAACCUGUGGAUAUGGGCUGUGAAUAUGAGCCAUGAAGACAUUAUUCUCCAAUUUAUAAUUGAGAGAAGGGAGGGAGGACAUCAGUGACUCGCAUCUCAGGGUACAUGACAGUGAGUGAUUGAGACAGACUUGGGUCUUUUGGUUACUCCUAGUACAGUGCUCUCUCCACCUCAUCCUGCCUUUACAAACUGGAAGCAGGUUAAGUAGCAAUUCAUUUAUUUUUCUUUCAGAAAGAAAUACAUCUUUAAAAGAAUGAGGAUCAAAAGUUGUGUAAAUAGAGGAGGCUGGCGCAGUGGCUCAUACUUGUAAUCCCAGCAUUUUGGGAGGCUGAGGCAGGUGGAUCACCUCAGAUCAGGAGUUCGAGACCAGCCUGGACAAUAUGGCCAGACCCUAUCUCUACUAAAAAUAAAAAAAAAUUAACUGGGUGUAAUGGUGGAACCUGUAAUCCCAGCUACUCGGUAGGCUGAGGUAGGGAUAAUUACUUGAACCCAGGAAGUGGAGGUUGCAAUGAGCUGAGAUGGUGCCACUGCACUCUGGCCUGGGCAACAGAGUGAGAUUCUGUCUCAAAAAAAAAAAAAAAAGUUGUAUAAAUAAAUGUAAAAAAUUCAAGUAUCUUCAUUCUAUUUUAUAAUAUAGUCAAGGUGUUUUUUGAUUUUCUUUUUUAAGGUAGAAAAACUGAGGGGCAGAGGUAAGUAGAGACAAAGGGACAGAAAAAGACACGCUCUGGUGCCAUACAGGCCCAGGGCUCACAGGGAGCAACAGCCCCAUAGGUGACUUUUUGAGGAUACAAAAGUGUGGUCAUGUUUUUGCAGCUCUAUGCAGAAAUACGGGCAGUGCUUCUGUGACCUGGUGACACUGAGGAUAAAAUUUGAGCCAGGAGCCAGAGGUCCUAUAGCACUGGCCUAAAACCAGGGAGAUCAAUUCUUUUAAUGCUAUAAUGUUUUAACUUCUAGAAUGAGCCUAUUGCCCUGGCUUCAGUUGUUUCUUUAUAAUAAAGUGCAAUAAUGACUAUGGAGAGCAUAGAACAUGAAGAGUAAGGGAAAGCCUGCAGGAGGAAACCAGUCACAGCCCUCUAAAGUGUGCUCAGCCUCCCUGCCCAUUAGAAUCACCGGGGAAGCUUUAAACAUGCAAUUCCCAAGCCCACCCCAAACAAUGGAGUCAGAAUCCUAAGAGUGGGACCCAGGCAUCAGUACUUAACGCUCCUGGGGUGCAUCUAGUAUACGGUCAAGGUUAAGUACCUUUGAGAGAUUUGUCCAAAAAGGCUGGCUGAGGAAAGGAAGAAGCACUGAAAUGGGAAAAUUCGGAUGUGAGAUUGAGGGUAGCCAAGCA
rnacentral:lncRNA from 1 species